GGGGCCGUAGCUCAGUUGGGAGAGCGCUUGAAUGGCAUUCAAGAGGUCGAGGGUUCGACUCCCUUCGGCUCCACCA
rnacentral:tRNA from 3 species